GACAGAGGAUGCAAGCGUUAUCCGGAAUGAUUGGGCGUAAAGCGUCUGUAGGUGGCUUUUUAAGUCCGCCGUCAAAUCCCAGGGCUCAACCCUGGACAGGCGGUGGAAACUACCAAGCUGGAGUACGGUAGGGGCAGAGGGAAUUUCCGGUGGAGCGGUGAAAUGCGUAGAUAUCGGAAGGAACGCCGGUGGCGAAAGCGGCGGGCUGGACCUCUUCUGACGCC
rnacentral:rRNA from 1 species